rnacentral:tRNA from 1 species
GGGGUUGUGGCUCAGUGGUAGAGUACUUGCCUAGCAUGUGUGAGGCACUGGGUUCCAUUCUCAGCACCACUU